rnacentral:lncRNA from 1 species
AACUUUUGUUUUGGAACUACAGGUUUUUCUUUGAUUUCUCAGCAACUUAUGUUGGGGUAGGGAUGAUCUGUCCUCACAUCAUAAAUGUUUCCAUUCUUGUUGGAGGGAUUCUGUCGUGGGGUAUCUUGUGGCCUCUAAUUGAAACUAGAAAGGGGGAUUGGUACUCUGCUGAUCUCGACUCACAUAGUUUGCAAGGGCUUCAAGGUUACAAGGUGAAUUCCUAUUACACCAUAGUUUCACCCAAAACUGCUAUAUUUAAAUUUGCUUUUUCAAUAAUAUAUCGUUCACUAAAACAAAAUGUGAACUAAAACCAUAACAGGUAUUCAUUGGCAUUGCCAUGAUACUCGGUGAUGGCCUAUACAACUUUUUCAAGGUUGUCAGCCGAACUCUAACCGGCUUGAUUAAAAAAAUUCAACAAAGAAAUGCAAAUAUGCAAAUCCCAGUGGUAGAACAUUCCUCUCCUGCCAAGAAAUCACUAUCUUAUGAUGACCAACGCCGCACCCAACUAUUUCUUGAAGAUCAAAUCCCAACGUGGUUUGCAAUUGGAGGCUAUUUCACCCUUGCUGCAGUCUCUACAGCAAUCCUUCCUCACAUCUUCCACCAACUCAAGUGGUACUAUGUAAUUGUUAUCUAUGUCUUUGCACCAAGCUUGGCCUUCUGUAACGCAUUUGGGUGUGGACUCACUGAUUGGUCACUCGCAUCUACCUACGGGAAGCUUGCCAUCUUUACAAUUGGGGCAUGGGCAGGGGCCUCACAUGGUGGAAUCCUUGCUGGUUUAGCAGCAUGUGGAGUGAUGUUGAAUAUAGUUUCCACUGCCUCUGAUAUCAUGCAGGAUUUUAAGACAGGUUACUUAACCUUGGCUUCACCCCGUUCAAUGUUUGUGAGCCAAGUGAUUGGCACUGCUAUGGGAUGUGUGAUUUCUCCUUGUGUCUUUUGGGUUUUCUACAAAGCUUUUCCUGAUCUUGGGCUUCCUACAAGUGAAUAUCCCGCUCCCUUUGCUACUGUCUACUAUAGCAUGGCUAAACUUGGGGUUGAAGGCUUCUCAGCUCUACCAAAGGAAUGCCUCAAGCUAUGUUACGGAUUCUUUGCUGCAUCCAUUUUCAUCAACUUAAUAAGAGAUGCUCUGGGAAAGAAACGUUCGUGGUUUAUACCACUUCCAAUGGCAAUGGCGAUACCAUUUUAUUUGGGUUCCUAUUUUGCCAUUGAUAUGUGUGCUGGUAGCCUCAUACUUUUUGUGUGGCAGAAGAUAAACAGAGCCAAGGCAGAUGCCUUUGGUCCUGCAGUAGCUUCUGGUUUGAUUUGUGGAGAUGGCAUCUGGACUUUGCCUAGCUCUAUACUAGCUCUAGUCGGGGUGAAACCUCCAAUCUGCAUGAAAUUCCUGUCGAGGGCUACAAACACUAAGGUAGAUAAGUACUUGGGAUCCUAGAUAUGCUGGGGGUAAAAAUUAAUUUGUAUCCGAACAAGUAUUGCCUUCAUAAACCAAAAAGGAUUAUCCUGUAUGGAUAAAUAAGAGAUUAAAUUUAUGCACUCCAUUCCUAUGUUUCAAGUCUUCUACAAUAUACCCUAUAAAAAGGAUUUCAAGUUAUCUGAUGUAGAUUUUAAAAAUACACCACAACUUUUAGAGUAGCUUUAUACAAUUUUUAGAUACUAUUACUGCUUACCAAAGGAAGAUGAAGAUAGCUUGUAGACAGCCAUGGCUAUCAAACUGAAACAAAUUCACUUAUCUACCUUGUACAAAUAAAAUUGAAUCUUAAAUAAAAUAUGAAAAUGUUAAACAGUGUAGUAGCAAAGAGUUUCUGCUUACACGAGAUGUUGAGUUUAAAAAUCACAAUGGAGUUAUGCCACUUCUUAUUCAUGUCUUGUAUUAAUUCUUGGGUAAGGAGGAUAUCUGCCAGCUACAAAACUGCAUUCAUUUUCCGAUAGCUCGGUGAGGCUAUCCUAACUUUGGUCACAAUUUUAUUCAUCACUAUAAAUAGACUAGUCGGUCACGUCUUUCCAUCUGCUCACUGAUUCAGAAUUAGAGAUAUCAAUGCUACGCUUCAUUGCAUCCAAGAAGGGAUUUGCCUAAAACCAACUUUAACACCAUAAUUUAAAUCUUAAGAAACCAGCCAUAUUUUCCAACAGAUUUACCUCAUAUAUUGCCAUAAUUAAUUCAACAGAUACUUCCAUAGAUUCUCAUAAAUAGUCGUGGAAUGUACAGUUAGGGAAAAAAUCAACAGAAAUAAUGAAUUUUCUUGUAAAGUAGGACCCAAUAUUUUAAAAUUUUGUUAGGGUCAAUUCUCGAGUGUAACAUUUUUCAAUGCUAAAAAAUUUCCAGGAUCCUGGGACCACCGUAGUAGAUUGCAAUCUUUUUUCUUCUUUUCUUUUUCUUUUGAGUGGGCGUGGUCAGCGAGAAUUAAUUAUUGAGAACGGACAAAUCGGUAAAACAGCUCUAACGGAGUGAAGUAUCAAUUCUUGCACCCUUAAGUAGCGAAAAAACAAUUGGGACAAGAUGUAUUAGUAAGUAGAUUGUAACUUAGAAAAAGAAUGACAUGAAUUAAAUAAUAAAUCAAUAACUAUUUGAAACAGUUCCAACCAAUUCCCCUAUACACAUCCCACCCAAGCCGCAACCCUAAUUCAAACAGAUGUCACCGGAAUAACCACCCAAAACCCCCAACUCGUGAACUCAAAAAUUGCCGACAACUAAUCCUCCGAUCCCACCCGCCAUCAUGGACUGUCACCGUUCGACUCCCACAAUCCAGGCGUCCAAUCUGACGAUGGUAUUUCAACAAAAAGUAGAGAAACAAUCGAUGCAGCUUUUGGGAUUUCAAAUCCCGAUCUUUGGGUGGGGUGGGAUUCGAUUUCUGGCCUUUAUAGAGAUGAAUUUGAUUUUUAGUUUCAUAUUGAACGUGGUGGGCAUGGGUGGCAGGGGCUAGUGAUUUUUCUUGGUUUGAUUUUCAAGAUUGGGGGUUAGUUUUCUUUGUUUGAUUUUCGAAUGUACAAUGGGUUGGAAGGUGGUGAUGGAGAGUGCCGGCACUGGUAGUGCGUGGGUGUGGGUCGAAGAUGGCAGCCUGAUUACGAGUUCUUUCUGUCCAGGAGAACCUAGUAAUUUCGUUUAUGUACUUAUUUCUAAUUUCUCGUGUGGUACUGACUAGUGCUAAUGCUUAUUCAGCGUUGUAUAGCAAUUGGUAAACCGAGGUAGUAGCUCAACAGCAUACUUACAUUUAUGCAGUUUAGCUAUGUAGAUUAUUUCAAAGUUAGCUUUUUUUCCCCCCUUUAUCAUAUUUUGAUUUGGAAGGUGAAGACUAUAAAACCGAUAAGAAUUAUCUGUGGCUAUGUGGCUAUCACGACCAGUAGCGUUUGUUAGUUUGGGCACAUUUUGGCAUGUUUAAUACUAGCUCAGAGAAAACAAAAUUAAAAUAGUGUUCACUCUACUUUUCAAUCAACAAGUCGUAUCUAAUACUGUGUGGUAAAUAUGCACUUAUUGUGCAAGUUUUGAAGGAUACGAGGUGAGGAGGAAAUUGUGUAAACAUGUUUGCCAUUGCUUCUUUUAUCAUUAGGUAUUUUCUCUAGAUUUUCUUGAUGUUGACAUAAGCAAGUUUCUUCUAUGUUUUUACCUUUAUAGUUAAGCCAAACAAGUUUUACAAAUAUUUUCUUAGAUAGUCUUAGAAUUAAUGGUUUGUUUGAUUACAUUUAUUUUCCAUGGAAAAUAUCAGUUUUCCACCCAAAUUCCUACUUUGAGUGUUUGAUUGCUAUUUUUUUCCAUGGAAAACAUUUUCCAACUUUUGAAAAUAUGCCUAAUUUUCCUUGUUUUUAAGGAAAACAUUUUCUUUGAAUAGAGGUGAUUUUUAUUUUCCAUAAAAGAUGGAAAACAUUUUCUUUUCUAGGUGAUAUUUUCCAUGUUAAUCAAACAUGCUCUUAGUUGAAAAAAUAAUUUUUCUUGUAAAGUAGGACCCAAUAGGUCGAAGACUUGGUAAGGGUCAAGUCUUCGAAUUGUUGCCCAUCACAAUAUUUUUGUUAUAUUUUUCAAUGAAUCCAUAUUCUUCCACGAUCCUGGGGCCGCCUAUUAUUAUGUGGGUGAUUGUCAAGUCGAAACGGUAUAAAGGAGUUAAAAAUUUGCUAAUAUCAGUACUUCAAAAUUAUGAUACAAGAAAAAAGCAAGUGGCAGUUUCUUUUGUAGGCAAAAGAAAAGCCAAGCAUGUUAGUACGUUAUAUACUAGAUUUUAUUUUUCAUGUAGCUAAUCUCUUGAUAACUACUCAUAACAAUAUUCAUAAUACGUAUAGUUAGUGUUGACUCGAUGACUUUUACACAGUUCCAUUGGUGAAGACAGAAUGAAUGUUGUAAUCAAGAUGGUACCUAUCAUAUAGUUUGGAGGAUUGUAUACUAUUAAGAGUGAAAAAAUACUAAUUUUCUGUCAAUAUGAAAAAUAUCAUAGACCAAUCUUGUCUAUGAUUGUGAUUAUUUAGGUGACGUUUUGUCGGUUUUGCUGCAAUAUUUGAUUUCAUCUCAACGUUUGAGUGGAAAAUUUUAUAGAUAUUUUCUUGGAUAGUCUUAGAAUAUGAUAUGAGAAUCUAAUUAAUUGAAAAAAUAAAAUUUCUUGUAAGGUAGGACCCAGCAACUUGAAGACUUGGUAAGGGCCAAGUCUUCGAAUUGUUGUCCAUCACAAUAUUUUUGUUAUAUUUUUCAAUGAAUCCAUGUUCUUCCACGAUCCUGGGGCCGCCUAUUAUUAUGUGGGUGUUUGUCAAGUCGAAAUGGUAUAAAGUAGUUAAAAAUUUGCUAAUUUCAAUACUUCAUUGUAUUGUCAAGAGAUAAAAAAAAAAAAAAAUUAUGAUACAAGAAAAAAGCGAGGGGCAAUUUCUUUUGUAGGCAAAAGAAAAGCCAAGCAUAUUAAUAUAUUAUAUACUAGAUUUUAUUUUCCAUUUAUCUAAUCUCUUGAUAACUACUCAUAGCAAUAUUCAUAAUACGUACAGUUAGUGUUGACUCAAUGAAUUUUACACAGUUCCAUUGGUGAUGGCAAAAUGAAUGUUGUAAUUAAGAUGGUACCUAUCGUAUAGUUUGGAGGAUUGUAUACUAUUAAGAGUGAAAAAUACUAAUUUUCUGUCAAUAUGAAAAAUAUCACAGACCAAUCUUGUCUAUGAUUGUGACUAUUUAGGUGACAUUUUGUCUGUUUUGCUGCAAUAUUUGAAUUCAACUCAAUGUUUGAGUGGCAAAUUGAAAAGUAAAAAUAAAUCAGUGGGUUCCAAGUUAUUUUCAAUUUUCUAAAUGCAAAUUCAACUAUGGACAUAUAUCUAUCAUCUUUUCACAUUUCUUUUUAUAUGUUAUGAAGUUGAUUGCUCAACUAGUGUGAAGAUUGAUCAAGAUUCAUUCCAAGUGUGAACUAAUGCAAUUUAAGAUCUAUAAGAAAAGAUGUUGAUUUAGAGCAUGCUCUAUUAAUCUUAAAGAUCACUUUUAAGUUACUUUUAUGUGAUAACUUACUUUUUUCUUCUUAUUUUUAAAUAUAUGUUUAUUUUGAAAGUAAUUAUUGUCAACAAGUUGAAGUUGGUUUUGAAUGCCUCUCAAUUUGAGAGUUGCAUUGAUUACAUAGGUGGAUUAUUACUCAUUACAAGGCUGAGAAUCAGCCAUUACCUACAUCUCGUUUGGGUAAAGAUGGAAUAUGUAAUAAUUACAAAUAUCACCUAUAAAUAAUAAUAUUCCCUAUCCUGCUAAUACUCCCCUCAAAUUGAUGUUGGUUUGUCAAGAAGCAUCAAUUUGUUCACAAGAAAUUGAUGACACUGUCGAGUCACUGCCUUUGUAAAAAUAUCAGCUAUCUGAAGGGUAGUGGAAAUAUGAAGAAGAGAAAUAACACGAGUACCCAAGGCCUCUUGAAUAAAAUGACAAUUCACUUCAAUAUGUGUUUCGCGCGGGUAAUCGCUAACAAUUAAAAAGGGAUCAGACGAUUGUGUAAGGAACAAACCUCUUAAAACAAAGUCCCAAAAAGGGGUGUUUUAUUAGCGAUGUUUUACAAUUGAAACUAAAUAGAAUGCCUCCAAGGGGCGCAAGCGCACGAGUACUAAAAGAAAUAUUUAAGUUUAAACUAAGAAAUUGAAAUGACAUAUUCUCUAUUUGAGAGUGUUUAAUUCGGGGUCUUUUGCUCUAUGUCUUCUCUUCCUUUCAUAUUCCCUUGAUGAUUUUGUCGUGAUCAAUCGCUUAAAAAUUGCUUGAUUACUUUAUAACUACCCUCUUUAUUUAUGGUGGCUAACUUGUCGUGGAACUGCCGUCUCUAACUGUUGCUACUACUCUUUGUCGUUCAACCGUUUUUAACUGAACUUCUUAAAUCGUGGAACGUGAUAAGGUUACCCAAUAACUGCUUCAAUAACUGCACUUCUGGAUAAUCAUAACAUCUUAUGUUUGCUAAGAUCCUGGGCGAUUCGAAGGUUUGGGCGAGAACAUGGUCAUAGUUUUGGACGACUGUAAGGCACUUCAUUCGCUCAGAUCUUGGGCGUCUUGCAAGAUUGGACGAUAAUGUUACCGCGUUCGUGGACUUCCAUUGCAUUCAUUAAUAACUCUAUCUGGGCCUUUAUCCUGAAUUGCCCAGUUUGGCUUCAUUUUUUGGGCUAUUUGAUUUGGAAAUUCCCCAAUUGGACUUCAUUCCUUGGACUUUUCGAUUUGGGCUGCACUUUUAGUGUGUCAACAAUAUGUUUUGUACGUUUAUGGUAAAUAGGGUUAGCAGCAAUCUGAAUUGCACUUGUGUUAUCAGCAUGGAGAGGAGUAGGAGUGGAUUGAGGAAAAUCAAGUUCAGCCAGGUUAGCAGCAUGUAGAGUGAUGAUGAAUAUAUUUUCCACUGCCUUUGACACUAUGCAAGAUUUUAAGACAAGUUACUUGACCUUUGCUUUAACCCGUUUAAUGUUUGUGAGCCAUGUGAUUAGCACUGCAAUGAGACUUCUCCUUGUGUCUUUUGGAUUUUCUACAAAACGUUUCCUGAUCUUAGGCAUCCUACAAGUGAAUAUCCCGCUCCCUUCGCUACUUUCUACUAUAACAUGGCUAAACUCGGGGUUGAAGGCUUCUUAGCGCUACUGAAGGAAUACCCUAAGCUAUGGUACGGAUUUUUUGCUGCAUCCAUUUUCAUCAACUUAAUAAGAGAUGCUCUGGGAAAGAAAUGUCUGUGGUUUAUUCCACUUCCAAUGACAAUGGCGAUACCAUUUUAUUUGGGUUCCUACUUUUCCAUUGAUAUGUGUGUUGGUAACCUCAUACUCCGUGUGUGGCACAAGAUAAACAUAGACAUGACAGAUGCCUUUGGGCCUGCAGUAGCUUCAAUUUUGAUUUGUGGAGAUGGCAUCUGGGCUCUGCCUAAAUUUAUACUAGAUCUAGUCGUGAUGAAACCUCCAAUCUGUCUGAAGUUCCUGUCGAGGGCUACAAACACUAAGGUAGAUAAGUACUUGGGAUCCU